rnacentral:rRNA from 7 species
CGGACCUCUAAUCGGAAAAGACUACCCGCUG